CCUACGGGCGGCAGCAGUGGGGAAUAUUGCACAAUGGGGGAAACCCUGAUGCAGCGACGCCGCGUGAGUGAAGAAGUAUUUCGGUAUGUAAAGCUCUAUCAGCAGGGAAGAAGAAAGACGGUACCUAACUAAGAAGCCCCGGCUAACUACGUGCCAGCAGCCGCGGUAUUACGGAGGGGGCAAGCGUUAUCCGGAUUUACUGGGGGUAAAGGGAGCGUAGACGGCUGUGCAAGUCUGAAGUGAAAGCCCAGGGCUCAACCCUGGGACUGCUUUGGAAACUGUGGAGCUAGAGUGCAGGAGAGGUAAGUGGAAUUCCUAGUGUAGCGGUGAAAUGCGUAGAUAUUAGGAGGAACACCAGUGGCGAAGGCGGCUUACUGGACAGUAACUGACGUUGAGGCUCGAAAGCGUGGGGAGCAAACAGGAUUAGAUACCCGUGUAGUC
rnacentral:rRNA from 1 species